ACGAACGCUGCGGGCGUGUUUAACACAUGCAAGUCGACGGAAAGAGAUGAAAGAGCUUGCUCUUUUAUUAAUUCAGUGCAAACGGGUGAGUACACGGUAACAACCCUGCCCUUAGGAUGGGAUACCAGACGGAACGACUGCUAAUCCGAAUACGUUCCAAGCAUCGCAUGGUGCAUAGAAGAAAGGGUGGCCUCUACAAGAAAGCUAUCGCCUUAAGAGGGGUUUGCGACUGAUUAGGUAGUUGGUGAGGUAACGGCUCACCAAGCCGACGAUCAGUAGCCGGUCUGAGAGGAUGAACGGCCACACUGGAACUGAGACACGGUCCAGACUCCUACGGGAGGCAGCAGUGGGGAAUCUUCCGCAAUGGACGAAAGUCUGACGGAGCAACGCCGCGUGAACGAAGAAGGUCUUCGGAUUGUAAAGUUCUGUGAUUCGGGACGAAAGGGUUUGUGGUGAAUAAUCAUAGACA
rnacentral:rRNA from 1 species